GAUGAACGCUGGCGGCGUGCUUAACACAUGCAAGUCGAACGGGGUGCCUUUGAUUGAGACUUCGGUUGAUUGAUUUGGUUACCUAGUGGCGGACUGGUGCGUAACACGUGAGUAACCUGCCUCGGAGUGUGGAAUAACACAGCGAAAGUUGUGCUAAUACCGCAUAAUGUAGUUGUAUCGCAUGGUGCUGACUACCAAAGAUUUAUUGCUCUGAGAUGGACUCGCGGCCGAUUAGCUAGUUGGUGAGGUAACGGCUCACCAAGGCGACGAUCGGUAGCCGGACUGAGAGGUUGACCGGCCACCAUUGGGACUGAGAUACGGCCCAG
rnacentral:rRNA from 1 species